GACGAACGCUGGCGGCGUGCUUAACACAUGCAAGUCGAACGGAAAGGCCCUGCUUUUGUGGGGUGCUCGAGUGGCGAACGGGUGAGUAACACGUGAGUAACCUGCCCUUGACUUUGGGAUAACUUCAGGAAACUGGGGCUAAUACCGGAUAGGAGCUCCUGCUGCAUGGUGGGGGUUGGAAAGUUUCGGCGGUUGGGGAUGGACUCGCGGCUUAUCAGCUUGUUGGUGGGGUAGUGGCUUACCAAGGCUUUGACGGGUAGCCGGCCUGGGAGGGUGACCGGCCACAUUGGGACUGAGAUACGGCCCAGACUCCUACGGGAGGCAGCAGUGGGGAAUAUUGCACAAUGGGCGGAAGCCUGAUGCAGCAACGCCGCGUGCGGGAUGACGGCCUUCUGGUUGUAAACCGCUUUCGCCUGUGACGAAGCGUGAGUGACGGUAAUGGGUAAAGAAGCACCGGCUAACUACGUG
rnacentral:rRNA from 1 species